ensembl:lncRNA
GUAGAAAAGGACCAUUAGAUCAGGGGUUGGCAAACUAUGGCCCACGAACCAAACCUGGCCUGGCACCUGUUUUUAUAUAACCCGUGAACUAAGAAUGGUUUAUAUGUUUUCAAACGAUUGGGCAGAAAAUCAAAAGAAGAACAAUAUUUCAUGGCACCUGAAAAUUCUAUGAAAUUCAGAUUUCAGUGUCCAUAAAUAAAAUGUUAUUAGAGCAUAGCCACACCCAUUCAUUUAUGAUAUGGUCUGGGACUGCUUUCUUGGCAGAGUUGAAGAGUCGGGACAGGGACAGUAUAGCCUGCAAAAUUUAUGCUAUUUUAUAGCCUAAAGUAUUUACUACUUGUCUUCUUAAAGAAAAAGUUUGCCAGCUCCUGAUCUAGACCAAGAGGGAGAUAUUGACAUUACUUGCAUUUAUCAGGCAUUAUUGCAUUUUACUGAACACCUCCUGUGAAGAAAGUACUUUUCCAGCAUUGCUACCAUGAGUUCUCAGCAGGAACUUCCCAGCGAUGAUAAUGUAGAUGAAAUUAGGCAUAUGACAAGAUUCUAUUGGCCUUGAAAAAACGGUUCUCCUUGAACUUCCUCCAGCUAUGCAGGGAUUCUCAUUAAAGAGCUGAUCUGCAUCUGUUCAUGCAUUUUAGUAGCUUUUAAAUAUGAUUUUAUGUGAAGUGCCAUUUCUUUAUUCUACUAAAGAGACACAGCAGAAAUAAAGAUCAGAAGCAAAUGUAAGCAAAUCUGUUUUAUUGUUAACUUCAAUUAGGAACUUGAAAUUGUGCCACAUGACUUUUUCCUCUAAAAACUGGAUCCUAGUGUUUUAAUUACCUAUGUGCAGCUAUUUUAAAUAGCAUUUUACUUGAAUAUUUAUGUUGUCAUUGUUUCAUGCUAUACUUUGUGGGAUAAAACUUGGGUAUGAGUGUGCUAAGGAAUUUAUAAAGUUUUGCUUUUUUUAAAAUGUGGACAUAACUCGUUUUUCUAGUUUUUGACAAUUGUGUGUUUCAGUGUCUAGUCUGCAGACAGAGCUGUGUGUGCGAUUAAUAAAUGCUGAAUGAACAAAAUUUCCUCUCCCUGUGUUAAGGUGUCUGGUUGUGCUUUUUCCCCCCUGCUUGGUGAUCUUUUGAGUUUUUAUUGGAUGAUAUUAGACCAGUUCGCAUUUGUGUAAAUAGCACUCCCUCCCCAGAGAGCCGUAAUCAGUGAGUGUCUUGGGGCAGGAGCCAGCAUGUGAAAUGAUGUACCCUAGAACCCAGAGAAGGGCUUGUCCAUGGUACGUGCUCAUAGAAUGUUUGCUAAGCUGAACUGAGAAUUUACCUGGUUUGCAGGAGUGGCGGUCACAGAAAGAGGUAUGGGCUAGCCGUCACACAUUGGCCUCCCUCUAUCUCCUACACGCCCCACUGAUAUGAUUUCCUGGGCUCAAACAAGCUGCUCACCUCUGCCUCCCGAGUAGCUGGGACCACAGGCACGUGCCACCACACCCAGUUAAUUUUUCUUUCAGUUUUUGAAAGUUAGGGUCUCACUGUAUUGCCCAGACUGGUCUCAAACUCCUGGGUUCAAGCCACCCUCCCACCUCAGCCUCCCAAAAUGCUAGGAUUAUGGGAGUGCAACCAGUAGCCAGCCCUCACCAUAAUUUAGAACACAGACAACACCCCUGCCCAGUGGUUUAGUGGACAUGAGUGUUUUUGCAAAUGUCGUCUCACAUUAUACAAUCACGUAUUGCCCAACAACGGAGAUAUGUUCUGAGAAACGCAUCAUUAGGCAAUUUCAUCCUUGUACGAACAUCAUAGAGUACUUACACAAACCUGGAUGAUACCACCUCCUACACAGCUAGGCUAUAUGGUCUAGCCUGUUGCUCCUAGGGUUACAGACUUGCACAGCACGUUACUGUAUUGAAUACUGUAGGCAGUUGUAAGACAAUGGCAAGUAUUUAUGUAUAUAAACAUUAAAAAGGUACAGUAAAAAUCGAGUAUAAAAGAUUUAAAAACUACACUUGUAUAAGGCACUUACCAUGAAUGCAGCUUGCAGAACUGGAAGCUGAGUCAGUGAGUGAGUGGUGAGUGAAUGUGAAGCCCUAGGACAUACCCUGCACACUACUAUAGACUUUACAAACACUCUACACUUAGGCUACACUAAAUUUAUUAAAUAAUAUUUUUCUUUCUUCAAUAAUAAAUUAUCCUUAGCUUACUAUAACUUUUUACUAUAUAAAUUUUUAAAAAUUUUUAACUUUUUGACUCUUUUGUGAUCACACUUAGCUUAAAGCACAAACUAAUUGCAGAACUGUAUAAAAAUAUAUUCUUUCUUUAUAUCCUUGUUCCACAAACUUCUUUGUAUUUUAAAUUUUUUUAAAACUUUUUUGUUAAAAACUAAGACACAAUUACACACAUUAGCCUAGGCCUACAAAGGGUCAGAUUCAUGGAUAUUUCUGUCUCCCACCUCCUCAUCUUGCCCUGCUGGAAGGUCUUCAGGGGCAAUAACACGCAGGGACAGCUGGGCCCAGUGGCUCACGGCUGUAAUCCCAGCAUUUCAGGAGUCUGGGGCAGGCAGAUCGCUUGAGCCCAGGAAUUUAAGACCAGCCUGGGCAACAUGGUGAAACCCUGUCUCUACAAAAAAUACAAAAAUUAGCCAGGUAUGGUGGCACAUACCUGUCGUCUCACCUACUCAGGAGGCUGAGGCGGGAGGAUCACUUGAGCCUGGGAAGUCAAGGCUGCAGUGAGCCGUGACUGCACCACUGCACUCCAGCCUGGGUGACAAGGUGAGACCCUGACUCAAAAAAAAAAAAAAAAA